rnacentral:rRNA from 1 species
UACGUAGGGUGCGAGCGUUAAUCGGAAUUACUGGGCGUAAAGCGUGCGCAGGCGGUUAUUUAAGACAGGUGUGAAAUCCCCGGGCUUAACCUGGGAACUGCAUUUGUGACUGCAUCGCUGGAGUGCGGCAGAGGGGGAUGGAAUUCCGCGUGUAGCAGUGAAAUGCGUAGAUAUGCGGAGGAACACCGAUGGCGAAGGCAAUCCCCUGGGCCUGCACUGACGCUCAUGCACGAAAGCGUGGGGAGCAAACAGG